UAUAAUUUAUAACAUAUACAUCGGAAGACGCUGAGUUUUAAAAUCUUACUCUUGAUAAACUAGAUUUGGAGGUAUCUUUAUAUGA
rnacentral:sRNA from 1 species